CAAUAGCGUAUAUUUAAGUUGCUGCAGUUAAAAAGCUCGUAGUUGGAUUUCGGGUGGGAAUGGCCGGUCCGCCGUUUCGGUGUGCACUUGCUACGCCCACCUUGCUGCCGGGGACGUGCUCUUGAGUUCACGCUCGGGACACGGAGUCGGCGAGGUUACUUUGAGUAAAUUAGAGUGUUCAAAGCAGGCCUACGCUCUGAAUACAUUAGCAUGGAAUAACACGAGAGGACUCUGGCCUAUCUUGUUGGUCUGUAGGACCGGAGUAAUGAUUAAGAGGGACAGUCGGGGGCAUUCGUAUUUCAUUGUCAGAGGUGAAAUUCUUGGAUUUAUGAAAGACGAACUACUGCGAAAGCAUUUGCCAAGGAUGUUUUCAUUAA
rnacentral:rRNA from 1 species